GAUGUUCCUUUGCCUAUAAAAGGGGACCUUGGCCACGAUUUUGAAGAAUCGAAUUCUCUCCAUCAUAUUCUGGUUUCCUUCAUUUUCUUUGUAACAAUUCACUAUGUAUUUCUAAACAUUUAGCUAGAGCUAAGGGUGAAACUUUGAUGAAUGUUUAGUAUUGUCUUUGAUCUUUCAUUUUGUUCUUCAAUGUUCAUCUUCUUACUUGGUUGAAGUUUGUGUUCUACAAAUGGUUUUGGUUUGUUAAAGACUUUGAUUUAUUGUUGAC
rnacentral:lncRNA from 1 species